rnacentral:sRNA from 1 species
CACCCAUUCAGAUUUCUGUUGGUGUAAAGCGACAUUCCAGCCGCUGAAGCUCCGUGAUCUGCUGUGUUUUCCCAGCCCAGAUCCAAGAGACCUGGAUGCUUUUUGCCAUUCUGAUGGUAAAUGAUGAGACAGGCUACCAUGGAUUUCAGCACCCCUUCUGUGUUUGAUCAGCAAAGAGGUGACUCAUCUGAGGAAGUUGACCUGACCAUGGUUUAUCAAGCAGCCUCUAAUGGAGAUGUCAAUGCUCUGACUGCAGUGAUUCGGGAAGACCCUUCUAUCCUAGAAUGCUGUGACAGUGAAGGAUGCACGCCCUUGAUGCAUGCGGUUUCUGGACGUCAAGUGGACACAG